GGUCGGUUAGCUCAGUUGGUUAGAGCGUCGUACUAAUAAUGCGAAGGUCGGGAGUUCAAGCCUCCCACUGACCA
rnacentral:tRNA from 1 species